CGUGGAGAAUUGUAGCCAAUACACUACGUGCGAAACGUGUAUUGGGACUGAUGCAGGGAAUGAUGGAGACCCAUAUUGUGGAUGGUGCACUCUGGAACGAAGAUGUACGACAUAUUCAGACUGUCCAUCAGCUGAUGUCUCUACUCGAUGGUUGGCCUACAAUGCUGCUCAGUGCAUUGAUAUUACUGAUGUAGCUCCCUAUGAUAACCUGCCAAUUACAGUCACUGAGCAACAGAUCACCCUGACUGUGCAGCAGUUACCUGAUCUAGGGACAGGCCAGAGUUAUGCAUGUCAUUUCGGGUCAUUCGAAUCUCCAGCUACGAAGAAU